CGUGUAGGCGGUUUGUACAGUUAGAUGUGAAAUCCCCGGGCUUAACCUGGGAGCUGCAUUUAAUACGUGCAGACUAGAGUGUGAGAGAGGGUUGUGGAAUUCCCAGUGUAGAGGUGAAAUUCGUAGAUAUUGGGAAGAACACCAGUGGCGAAGGCGGCUUACUGGAUGGUAACUGACGUUGAGGCUCGAAAGCGUGGGGAGCAAACA
rnacentral:rRNA from 1 species